rnacentral:rRNA from 1 species
GAACGAACGCUGGCGGCAUGCCUAACACAUGCAAGUCGAACGAGACCUUCGGGUCUAGUGGCGCACGGGUGCGUAACACGUGGGAAUUUGCCUCGGGGUAUGGAAUAACUCAGGGAAACUUGAGCUAAUACCAUAUAAUGUUUCGGACCAAAGAUUUAUCGCCCUGAGAUAAGCCCGCGUAGGAUUAGCUAGUUGGUGGGGUAAAGGCUCACCAAGGCGACGAUCCUUAGCUGGUCUGAGAGGAUGACCAGCCACACUGGGACUGAGACACGGCCCAGACUCCUACGGGAGGCAGCAGUGGGGGAAUAUUGGACAAUGGGCGAAAGCCUGAUCCAGCAAUGCCGCGUGAGUGAUGAAGGCCUUCGGGUUGUAAAGCUCUUUUACUCGGGACGAUAAUGACGGUACCGAGAGAAUAAGCCCCGGCUAACUCCGUG